ensembl:snoRNA
AUCCUUUUUUGGUUCAUGAGCAUGAUGAUUGGGUGUUCACGCCUCUGCGUGACGUGUGCCGCCCUCAAAUCUUGUUACGACGUGGGCACAUUACCCUUCUGACG